GGGAUUGAAAUUUCCUCAAAUGAACCCGCUUCACGCCUUCUCUCGAGGUCAUGUACAGCUAUUAGUUCAUUCAGCCACUCCGACAUGUACAACAAAACAGAACGGAACAUGUCGUAAAAUAGAACCCUUUACAGCCUUCCGCAUUUUAAUAAGUAAGACUUUGCACUUGGUAUAUCACUCAUUUUUUCAUUAUGACCAAAUGUUACUGGAUUGAUAAACAAUGUCGAUGAAUCUAUUUCCUUGAACAAACUUGAGUCUGAAAGUAAUUCACAGAUACAAUUCAUAAAGCUAUUCACAGAUUUACAGAUUCAUGACGGUACAGAGCAAUACUGGAAAAAAAUAAAUAAAUAAAUAAAAUUGAAACAUUAAAAUAGAGCAAUUCACAACGAUUUUCUCCUGGGUUUUUCAAUAGCUUUCUAAACUUCUUAUGUUCAAUGUAUGUUAAAAAUUAAAAAAUUGUAACGUAACAAUCAACAAAUCAAAAUAACAUAUAAAAAGAAAUGAGAUGACAUCAGGGCCUUCACCUUCUUCUUCUGCUAUUCUCUUGUCUGUUGAAUUUUUGUUGGAAUCGAAGGCAUCUGCCGACUGCUAUCUAGGGCACAAAAAUGAAAAAGAAUGGUAAGAGAUUCCGAUAUUGGAUGAAGGCGGCGACAGGUGAGAGUUCGUGAGAUGUUGAGAAGAGAUUCAGAAGUCAAAUGGAGGAUAUUUCCGUCUGUGUCUUAGUUAUGAAGAGUUUCGAUUGAAU
rnacentral:lncRNA from 1 species